GCCAAAGGUGAGACAUGCUGUAAAGGCUUGAUACAAAUGUGUAGGCGUAGUUUUGGAAUUCAGAGGUGCUAGCUGGCUGUUUGGAUUGGGCCAUCCAGGCAUUGUGGAUAUUCUGCCAUGUACAUGAUAAACCUAGGAUUCUUCGUCAACAUGCAAGAUGUCACCCCCUGCAAACUACUGUUGACAGAAAAGCUGAUACAUUUGGACAAUGGUUACAGCAUGUGUGAUGAAUAAAUCACCAUAGAUCAGUUGCCUUGCCUUCCCAAUUGCAACAAAGACGAAUCAUGGAGUCAAAAAUAUUAAAAGAAUGUGCUGGAAUUCAUGUCAUCCUGGAGAGGAUUAAAAAAGAGAUGUAUCCAUGAAGCAGUUCAUUAGUCAUGUCCCAAAUGAAUGCCUGCGUCAACCAGCAAACUUUCAAUGGCUAACAAGGAUUUAAUGGUUUUGAAAAUCGUAGGCAACAUUCCUAAAUCCCACCUGUCAAAAGAUUUGAAUGCAACAAUUUUUUUCUGAACUGAUGCCUGCCAAAUUCUUUUCCCAUAAAAUGAGGUGAUAUGAGGUUAUAAUGGAAAUUGUUGUUAAGACUGCCGAGACCAGCCAUGGAAGAUCUCUGUGUCCAACACGAAGGGUUCUUCCAAACUUUCGUAUUCAACUUUUGGCUAUGGUGAUCAUUUGCAACUGCAUAGCCUUUUAGAAGCACCUGCCAGG